ensembl:lncRNA
GGGCAGAGACUGAUACACGGGCGUGGCACAGGGGCUCUACAGCGCCCCCUGGAAUAUGGAGGGCCAUAUAUCAUACAUACUUGCACGUAGACGUAUGAAACUCGGUACACAUAUUGGAACCUGCGGCCAUUAGGGCCGGGCAGAGACUGAUACACGGGCGUGGCACAGGGGCUCUACAGCGCCCCCUGGAAUAUGGAGGGCCAUAUAUCAUACAUACUUGCACGUAGACGUAUGAAACUCGGUACACAUAUAGAUCUCAUCAAGCCAAACAACUUUCGUACUGCAUGUCAUAGGCUCCGCCCAACAGGAAGUUGGCUAUUUAGGGUUUAGUAUUCUUAUUUUUCGUCAAAGUUGUGGGGGCUUUUGGGGCCCUUAACAUGCUCAAAAACUCUUGAAAAUUUGCACACACCUUGAAUCUGUGGCCAUUAGGAGGCUGCAGAGGCUGAGACCCGGGCGUGGCACAGGGGCUCUACGGCGCCCCCUGGAACACAGUCAGAAAUGUUGAUGUAUAGUUCAAACAUACUUGCACGUAUUCAUAUGAAACUCAGUACACAUAUAGAUCUCAUUGUGCCGAACAACUUUCGUAUUGCAUGUCAUAGGCUCCGCCCAACAGGAAGUCAGCUAUUUAGAGCUAUGUAAAAAGUGCAUGCUCUGGAAUUUGAUAUACUUGUCAUAGGUUUUUUACCCGAUUGCCACCAGACUUGGUCAACAUGAUCUCAAGACAUUGGGGAUGCAAAAUUGCCAGGGGAUUUUUGAUAUCUUGAACGGUUUGCUCAUGGCGAGGCGUUGAAAUUAUGGCGAGAAAUGAGAAACAGGAAGUGUCUAAUAACAUCCACAUACAUUUCCU